GAUCAACGCUGGCGGCGCACAUAAGACAUGCAAGUUGAACGGACUUAAUCGAAAUAUUUAUAUUUUGAAGCGGUUAGUGGCGGACUGGUGAGUAACGCGUAAGGAACCUGCCUAUUAGAGGGGAAUAACAGUGAGAAAUCAUUGCUAAUACCGCAUAUGCCAUAGAUAUCACAUGAUAACAGUGGGAAAGGAGCAAUCCGCUAAUAGAUGGCCUUGCGUCUGAUUAGAUAGUUGGUGGGGUAACGGCCUACCAAGUCGACGAUCAGUAGCCGGACUGAGAGGUUGAACGGCCACAUUGGGACUGAGAUACGGCCCAGACUCCUACGGGAGGCAGCAGUCGGGAAUAUUGCGCAAUGGAGGAAACUCGGACGCAGUGACGCCGCGUAUAGGAAGAAGGUUUUCGGAUUGUAAACUAUUGUCGUUAGGGAAGAGAAAGGACAGUACCUAAGGAGGAAGCUCCGGCUAACUACGUG
rnacentral:rRNA from 1 species